UGGUUAACUUUUUAUAUGUGCAAUUACUUAGAUUAUAAAUUAAAAAAAAAAGAAUGCAUUUGAAUCAAUCUUAUCAAAAGAGUACUAUAUUUGAUGAUGGCUGUGCAUGUGUGUUAAAUGAAAGUGUGAAUGAAUAUAUUUAGUUUUAAUAAUUGAAUGUUAUUUGGCUGGAAAAAAUUAUGAGAUGUGUGUUAUUUAACCUCAU
rnacentral:lncRNA from 1 species